GGCAUUGCCCGCAAGGCGACAAGGUUCCUUGGGUCGGCGCUCGGCGGCAACCACAUCCGCGAGUCGCGGCCAAGCCCACCCACGGCUGACGCGAGUUUGGACCCGAGCUCCGCUUGACGUCUCUACCCACCCCGACAGCAGUUGGCGCCGGCUAGGUGUUCGUCGAAAUGCCAGCGAGAGAUCUAGCCACCACUUCGCGUCUUCCAUCCAUCGUGGCCGUCAGGUAUCCACCCACGGGUGCGCGCUUCCUCCGAACUACUUGCCCCUGCAUCUAGAAGCUUCCUCACGUCCAGGCAUCCGCCGACCGGGGGCUUUUCGGGACCACGGGAACCUCGCCCGGGCGACGUGGGCGCACCCGGGGCACGCCCGCCGGCGAAAUCAAACCAGGAGACGACACUUUACUCGGUCGCUGCCUCGCCGCGCCCUCGCGCGCGUAUGGAGGGGGACGUAGCCGCGCCCUGCGCCACCACCCACCAGUCGCCGCGGCGCGCUCGGCGUGCCACGCCGUCGCCGAAAAAUAUCAGCUUGCCACGGAGGAUUCAUUCACCUGCUGAGCUGAGCCGCGGGUCGGUGAUUCCGUCACUUGGCUCGCUCGUUCCCGCGCGCGGCUGCCUCCUCCUCAGUCCUCACGCUGUCCCGGCCGCGCUACUGUGCGAGCGCGUCCGGCGGCGGCGGCUGGGGCCUGGGGGCCGAACCGGCAGGAGCAGCAGCAUGUCGCUUGAUACCCUCUCUGGCAAGUUCCUGUUCUCGUCCUGCACCGCGGCGAAGCCCCCGAGAAAGGAGGUGAUCACGGUUCUUGCUGCCGGUGCCUCACCGUCGACGCCGCCAAGGUCGAGGUCAUCGAAUUCCUCUUCUCUCCGCCCACGGCGCGUGCGGACCGUGCCAUCGAGCCCCACCAAACAGGCACCGCGGCCUGCCGUCCGCAGCACCAGCGGCACCGUGAGGAGGCGAGGGCGGAGGAGCAAGGUCGAGGAAGAGCAAGGCGUAGGGGGAGCAGAAAAAAGGGGUGAGUGCGUGCCGUCGACGGAGGAGGCGUCCAUCAGCGUGGGAACACUGUACCAGAAUGGUGAUCCGCUCGGGCGGAAGGAACUGGGCCGCUGCAUAGUGGAGUGGCUCAGGCAGGGCAUGGGAUCCAUGGCGUCCAAACUCGCUGCGGCCGAACUGGAGGGCGACCUCGCCGGCGCGGCAUUGGCUCUAGAGUGGGGGUCGGCGGAAGGCAGGCUUGGGUUCGUGAUCCAAGCGCAGCCUUACCUCUCGGCAAUCCCCAUGCCCCAGGGCCUGGAGGCACUCUGCCUCAAGGCCUGCACACACUACCCCACCCUGUUCGACCAUUUCCAGCGUGAGCUCCGUGAUGUUCUGCUGGGUUACCAGAACCAGGGGCUCAUCUCCAACUGGCGAGACACGCAGUCAUGGAGGAUUUCGAAAGAAAUGGCCAAUUCUUCGCAGCAUCGGGCUGCUGUGCGCAGGACAUCUCCACAGCCUAAAGCCAUCCAUAGCAGCAUUGGUAUAAGCCUUAAAAAGGUGAGGCUGAUGCAGGCCAGAAUUGAAGAAUUCGUUAGGCAUAUGUCAGAUCUUCUUCAGAUUGAGCGAGAUGUGGAGCUGGAGUUUACACAGGAGGAGCUGAAUGCAACUCCUGUUCUAGAUGAUGAUUCCGAGCCACCCAAGCCGGUUGAGUACCUGGUGAGCCAUGGGCAGGCUCAGCAGGAGCAGUGCGACACCAUUUGCAACUUGAAUGUGAUCAGCAGCUCCACUGGGUUGGGAGGCCUGCAUUUGGUUCUUUUCAGAGUUGAAGGUGGGCAUAAGCUGCCUCCAACUACAUUAUCUCCUGGAGACAUGGUUUGCGUGAGAACAUGCAAUAGCCGUGGUGAGGGUGCCACUUCUUGCAAGCAAGGUUUUGUUUAUAAUUUUGGGGAAGAUGGUUGCAGCAUAACAGUAGCUCUGGAAUCACGCCACGGUGAUGCCACCUUCUCUAGGCUAUUUGGAAAAAGUGUACGAAUUGACCGGAUUCGGGGAUUGGCUGAUGCCCUUACAUAUGAGCGUAACCUUGAAGCGUUAUUGCUUCUCCAAAGGAACGGUUUACAGAAAGAUAAUGUUUCCAUUGGUAUUGUGGCAACACUGUUUGGGGACAGUAAAGACGUGGCAAAGAUGGUGAAGAAUAACCUGACUGAUUGGGAUGAAUCAAGUGAACCUGAUCUGAGUCCAUCAGAGAAGCAUGCAUAUGAUGCCUCCCAGUUAAGGGCUCUCAAAUUAGGCUUGAACAAAAAGAGGCCUGUUCUAAUAAUCCAAGGGCCUCCUGGCACAGGAAAGACAGUCUUGCUCGCUGAGCUCAUUGUGCGUGCUGUCAAGCAGGGUGAGCGUCUACUUGUGACUGCUCCAAGUAAUGCGGCAGUCGAUAACAUGGUUGAAAGUUUGUCGAGUAGUGGGUUGAACAUUGUGCGAGUUGGAAACCCCAUUCGACUAUCACCCUCUGUUGCUUCGAAGUCCUUAGGAGAGAUUGUGAAUUGCAGACUUCGACAAUUCAGAAAGGAGCUUGAGAGAAAGAGAACAGACUUAAGAAAGGACCUGAGGCAGUGCAUAGAAGAUGAUUCUUUAGCUGCCGGCAUUCGCCAACUGCUGAAGCAACUUGGAAGAGAUCUGGAAAAUAAAGAAAAGGAAACAAUUAGAGAAGUGCUCUCCAAUGCACAGAUUGUUCUAUCAACUAAUACAGGGGCAGCUGAUCCACUUAUCAGGAGAACUGGGUGCUUUGACUUAGUUAUUAUUGAUGAGGCAGGGCAAGCAACUGAGCCUGCCUGCUGGAUACCUAUAUUGCAGGGGAAGCGCUGUAUUGUUGCUGGUGAUCACUGCCAACUUGCACCCGUUAUAUUGUCAAGGAAGGCCUUGGAUGGUGGGCUUGGUAAAUCUCUGUUGGAAAGAGCUUCGUCGUUGCAUGAUGAUUUACUGACAACAAGACUGACAGUCCAGUACAGAAUGCAUGAUUCAAUAGCCAUGUGGGCAUCUAAGGAGAUGUACAAUGGGUUGCUCAAAUCCUCUCGUUCAGUUGCUUCACAUCUUCUUGCUGACUCCCCGGUUGUCAAGGCAACUUGGAUAACACGGUGCCCGCUGCUCUUACUUGACACCCGAAUGCCAUAUGGAUCCUUAAACAUCGGUUGCAAGGAGUAUCUAGAUCCUGCUGGCACAGGCUCAUUUUAUAAUGAAGGGGAAGCAGAUAUAGUCACACAGAGUGUCUCCAACUGCAAUUGUUGUUCAGUCACCCUACAUUGCUCAAGUGCAAUUGUUAAGAGAGAAGCUAGAAAAAUAUCCAGAACUUUCUGCUGUUGAGGUUUCAACCAUAGAUAGCUUUCAGGGGAGGGAAGCAGAUGCAGUGAUCAUAUCAAUGGUUCGGUCGAAUCCACUGGGAGCCGUAGGGUUUCUGGGCGACAGCAGGCGCAUCAAUGUGGCUAUUACGAGGGCACGCAAGCACAUCACUGUGGUUUGUGAUACCUCCACUACUUGUCACAGUACCUUCCUGGCCAGGCUCCUUCGCCAUAUCAGGCGGUAUGGGCAAGUAAAACACGUUGCCCCUGGUUCCUUGGAUGGGGUUUCUGGCCUCGGCUUCAGUCAACCUACUCUCCCCUCUAUCAGUUGACACACAGCAAAUUACAAGCACACUGUCUGAGCAUGUAUAUAUGCAAACAGCUGAAGGCUUUGUACAUACACACGGAAUUCGAAGCUGAGAGGUCAUAUGGCCGGCCUGUUCUUGAUAUAUCCAUGAAGAGGAUUCAAACAGUGAUUCAUGGAUAGACAGCCAAGAGCGUCACAGGGUGGUGAUGCAUGGGCAAUCUGCUAUUCAACUUAACUGGGGUCUGGGACGAGUCAGUCUUCCAUUUUAAUUUUUGAACUGAUGCACAGGAGGAUGAGUAUUCAGGAAGGGAACAUUCAAUCUCCUGAGUAUCACUAACCUCUUGCUUGCCUGACACGAUGCUCCUAUUAUUGCUGUAAAUAAAUUACUGCUGACAAGUACACGGGAUACCCAGUACAGAUUACAGACAUGAACAGCACACUGACAGUUUCAUAAUUGAGUUCCAGGCAUUUUCAUUCUGUGCUUUUCAUUUGGAAGCUACAGACUUGGAGCAACAUGUCACGCUGUCGACAUUUGCAAGGUACCUCUGAACUGUCCUUUCUUCCAACUCCAGUUUUUUCCCUGUCAUGGCUGUUGAAUUUCGUGCUGCUCCUCUGCAUCAUGUGCGUGCAGUCCUCCCUACCUUGGAAAAUCAAUAAAUCAUGGAGGGAUCCAGCUCCCCCAACACGCAAAUGAACUUUCCUCAUAUUAUCCUUUCGUAUCCCGCUGCAUUUUUCCAAUAUUGUGCUCCUAUGCUAUGCAAUCUCACACGAUUGGAGUUCUAACAACAGAAGCGAAGUGCAUUCCCUCCCAUAGCACAUGAAAUAUUUUCCACAACACAAUUCCGUAUGCUACUUGUGCCCUUAGGUAAUAUCAAGUGUAUUUUUUUUCUUUUUUGCAUACGGAGUAUCAUGUAUGGGAGCUUUCAAAGUUGGGCGCUGAAGCUGCAACCAGCCAUGUGUACUGAAAGACAAACUCACAUUUGUCACAUAGGCUGAUAGACACGUACAUCU